rnacentral:lncRNA from 1 species
UGUUAAGACAGAAUUCAUGGUACAAGCUUACAUGGCAAGAGGUAAAUGUGGGCGAUAUUGUGAAGGCCUGCAACAGGGAGUUCCUUCCUGCAGACUUAGUCCUGAUUUCUUCCAGUGAACCUCAGUCUAUGUGUUAUAUAGCAACAGCUAAUCUGGAUGGAGAGACAAAUCUAAAGAUACG